rnacentral:rRNA from 1 species
UACGAAGGGUGCAAGCGUUAAUCGGAAUUACUGGGCGUAAAGGGUGCGUAGGCGGUUGUUUAAGUCUGUCGUGAAAUCCCCGGGCUCAACCUGGGAAUGGCGAUGGAAACUGGGCAGCUAGAGUGUGUCAGAGGAUGGUGGAAUUCCCGGUGUAACGGUGAAAUGCGUAGAGAUCGGGAGGAACAUCAGUGGCGAAGGCGGCCAUCUGGGACAACACUGACGCUGAAGCACGAAAGCGUGGGGAGCAAACAGG